GUCCACGCCGUAAACGAUGGAUACUAGCUGUUGGGGGCAACUUCAGUGGCUAAGCGAAAGUGAUAAGUAUCCCACCUGGGGAGUACGUUCGCAAGAAUGAAACUCAAAGGAAUUGACGGGGGCCCGCACAAGCGGUGGAGCAUGUGGUUUAAUUCGAUGAUACGCGAGGAACCUUACCAAGGCUUAAAUGUAGUUUGACCGAUUUGGAAACAGAUCUUUCGCAAGACAAAUUACAAGGUGCUGCAUGGUU
rnacentral:rRNA from 1 species